rnacentral:lncRNA from 14 species
ACUCAGUAAAGCCAAGCUUAGUCCAGUCAGGUAGUUCAUCCAUUACAGCUUUUGCUUCAUAUUGAGACAAAUCAGCAGGUCCAUGAAGCAACCAUCUCCAAUUGUGUUAGAAACUUAAAAGGUGAGUUUUUUUUUUUUAUUUCAUAAAUGUAUUAUAAAAGGAACCCUUG